rnacentral:rRNA from 1 species
ACCCGCUGAACUUAAGCAUAUCAAUAAGCGGAGGAAAAGAAACUAACAAGGAUUCCCCUAGUAACGGCGAGUGAAGAGGGAAAAGCUCAAAUUUUGAAUCUGGUGUCUUUGACUCCCGAGUUGUAAUCUAGAGAAGUGUUUUCCGUGUCGGACCGUGUACAAGUUCCCUGGAACGGGGCGUCAUAGAGGGUGAGAAUCCCGUA